rnacentral:rRNA from 1 species
AGUGAACGCUGGCGGUAGGCCUAACACAUGCAAGUCGAACGGCAGCACAGUAAGAGCUUGCUCUUACGGGUGGCGAGUGGCGGACGGGUGAGGAAUACAUCGGAAUCUACUUUUUCGUGGGGGAUAACGUAGGGAAACUUACGCUAAUACCGCAUACGACCUACGGGUGAAAGCAGGGGAACUUCGGACCUUGCGCGAUUGAAUGAGCCGAUGUCGGAUUAGCUAGUUGGCGGGGUAAAGGCCCACCAAGGCGACGAUCCGUAGCUGGUCUGAGAGGAUGAUCAGCCACACUGGAACUGAGACACGGUCCAGACUCCUACGGGAGGCAGCAGCGGGGAAUAUUGGACAAUGGGCGCAAGCCUGAUCCAGCCAUACCGCGUGGGUGAAGAAGGCCUUCGGGUUGUAAAGCCCUUUUGUUGGGAAAGAAAAGCAGCAGGUUAAUACCCCGCUGUUCUGACGGUACCCAAAGAAUAAGCACCGGCUAACUUCGUG